rnacentral:rRNA from 1 species
AGUGAACGCUGGCGGCGUGCUUAACACAUGCAAGUCGAACGAGAACGGAUUAUAGCUUGCUAUAAUUGUCAGCUAAGUGGCGCACGGGCGAGUAAUGUAUAGAUAACCUGCCCUCUAGAAAGGAAUAACAGUUGGAAACGACUGCUAAUGCCCUAUAUGCCUUUAAUACAUAAGUAUGCAAGGGAAACGCUUUAGUGCUAGAGGAUGGGUCUGUAUGGUAUCAGUUAGUUGGUGAGGUAAUGGCUCACCAAGACUAUGACGCCUAACUGGUUUGAGAGGAUGAUCAGUCACACUGGAACAGAGACACGGUCCAGACUCCUACGGGGGGCAGCAGUGGGGAAUAUUGCACAAUGGACGAAAGUCUGAUGCAGCAACGCCGCGUGGAGGAUGACACAUUUCGGUGCGUAAACUCCUUUUAUAUAGGAAGAUAAUGACGGUACUAUAUGAAUAAGCACCGGCUAACUCCGUGCCAGCAGCCGCCGUAAUAC